AGGGGGCGGGGCGGAAGGCGGCGGCGGCGGCGGCCUCGGAGGCGGAGGAGGCUCCUUCAUUCGGGCCCCUUCAGCCGCCGCGCCGAGGAAGGGCCGGCCAGCGCCGCCUGAGGGACGCGCUCAGAGCACUUAAUGAAAGAAGAGAGCCUGUCAACAUGGGGUCUGUUUGGGAGUGCGGUUAGACAGCCAGCUUUGAUGACCUAAUGCAACUUGCAUGGCAAUAUGAAACAAAAGGCCAAGAUGAAGUACCUUAUUAGUGCUUUGGGAAUGAAAGCCUUCUGUGGGACUCAGCUAAGUUGCAUCAAUGCAAACAAACAGCCUUUCUCUGAAGAAUCUUAAAAUGAAGACCUGAAAUGCGGAUGAAUCAAAGAAUCUUUCGGUCUCUGAAGAACCUGACAGUGGUUCACAUGUACCCAGCAAAGUCUACUAAAUAAUCUGGAGAAUCUCAUGAUUGCUGCAGAAAGAUGGCUGCAAGCUGGGUCUUCCGUUGUCUGUGGCUUUUGGCUGUUCUGAUAGGAUGCACAGGUGGUCACAGCCAGUUCUCAUGUGAGCCCAUCAUCUUGAGGAUGUGCCAGGAUCUUCCUUACAACACCACUUUUAUGCCUAACCUUUUGAACCAUUAUGAUCAGCAAACAGCAGCUCUAGCCAUGGAGCCAUUCCACCCAAUGGUGAACCUUGAAUGUUCCCGGGACUUUCGGCCAUUCCUGUGUGCUCUCUAUGCUCCUAUUUGCAUGGAGUAUGGCAGAGUCUCCCUCCCAUGUCGCAGAAUUUGCCAGCGAGCCUACAGUGAGUGUUCAAAACUCAUGGAGAUGUUUGGUGUGUCUUGGUCAGAGGAUAUGGAGUGCAGCAGGUUCCCGGAUUGUGACGAGCCUUACCCUCGCCUUGUCGAUCUCAAUGUCGUUGGGGAAGCGACGGAAGAAGUGCCAGUGGCAGUGCAAAGAGAUUACGGCUUCUGGUGCCCCCGAGAGUUGAAAAUCGACCCGGAUCUGGGCUACACAUUCCUGCGGGUACGGGACUGUUCCCCUCCUUGCCCGAAUAUGUAUUUCAGGCGUGAAGAGCUCUCUUUCGCACGAUACUUCAUUGGUGUGAUCUCCAUUGUCUGCCUUUCGGCCACCUUGUUUACUUUCUUGACUUUCUUGAUUGACGUCACGAGGUUUCGCUACCCAGAAAGGCCCAUCAUCUUUUAUGCCGUCUGUUACAUGAUGGUAUCGCUCAUUUUCUUCAUUGGCUUUCUGCUAGAGGACCGGGUGGCCUGCAAUGCCUCCAGCCCCACCACGUACAAGGCUUCCACCGUGACUCAGGGCUCCCACAACAAAGCGUGCACGAUGCUUUUCAUGGUGCUCUAUUUCUUUACCAUGGCGGGCAGCGUCUGGUGGGUGAUCCUUACCAUUACUUGGUUCCUGGCAGCUGUGCCAAAGUGGGGCAGCGAAGCCAUUGAGAAGAAAGCCCUCCUCUUCCACGCCAGUGCGUGGGGCAUCCCAGGAACCCUCACCAUCAUCCUCCUAGCGAUGAACAAAAUCGAAGGUGACAACAUCAGCGGCGUGUGCUUUGUUGGCCUCUAUGACGUGGAUGCCUUGAGGUACUUUGUCCUUGCUCCCCUCUGCCUGUAUGUGGUGGUUGGGGUUUCUCUGCUACUCGCCGGCAUCAUCUCUUUAAAUCGGGUUCGUAUUGAAAUUCCUCUAGAGAAGGAGAACCAGGACAAGCUGGUGAAAUUCAUGAUCCGGAUCGGUGUCUUCAGCGUCCUCUACCUCGUGCCACUCCUGGUUGUGAUUGGCUGCUAUUUUUAUGAGCAAGCUUACCGAGGUGUGUGGGAGACGACAUGGAUACAGGAACGGUGCAAAGAGUAUCACAUACCCUGUCCUUAUCAGGUCACGCAGAUGAGUCGUCCAGACUUGAUCCUCUUUCUGAUGAAGUAUCUGAUGGCUCUGGUGGUUGGGAUUCCAUCUGUCUUCUGGGUUGGAAGUAAAAAGACCUGCUUUGAAUGGGCCAGCUUCUUCCAUGGGCGCAAGAAAAAAGAGGUUGUGAACGAGAGCCGGCAAGUGCUUCAGGAGCCUGAUUUUGCUCAGUCGCUCUUGAGAGACCCCAACACACCCAUAAUCCGCAAGUCCAGAGGCACCUCCACCCAAGGGACAUCCACCCACGCUUCCUCUACCCAGCUGGCUAUGAUGGACGACCAGCGAAGCAAAGCGGGCAGCGUCCAUAGCAAAGUCAGUAGCUACCACGGCAGCUUGCAUAGGUCACGGGAUGGCAGGUAUACCCCCUGCAGUUACCGCGGGAUUGAAGAUCGACUACCUCACGGCAGCAUGUCCCGACUGACGGACCACUCCCGGCACAGCAGUUCCCACCGGCUCAACGACCAGUCGCGUCACAGCAGCACCAGGGACCUCAGUGGCAAUCCAGUGACCCACAUCACGCACGGCACCAGCAUGAACCGGGUGAUCGAAGAGGACGGUACUAGCGCUUGAGCCGCGCUUUUCUCUGUUCCAUGAGCAGUGCUCGUUCCAUUUCAGUUCAACAGUGUUAGCCCUUUCUCUUAGGUGCUAAGCUUGCCCCGGUGGAACCUAACCAGCUGCUGCCUUUUCCCCCUAAUCAGCAAUUUCUCAGAAACAUUUUCUCCCAGCAAAGGUAUGCUGCUCGAUCGAGUCUACAAGCUAAACGGUUUUCUGGUACUUGACUCCUCGAUACAAACUUUAUUUAUUAUGCUUGACGACUGGAAUUUCUUAGCGCUGUUUUUUAAUGGUCCGUAUGCUUCUCUAAGAGAUGUCUACUAUGAAGAUCCUGUGGAAGGGGGACAAAAAAAAAACCCCAAGCAGAAGACUGGCUUUUUGUUUGGGAAAAAAUUCCACCCCUGCAAUCUUUUUGUUGCUGUCUCUGAUUAGAUAAUAAACUGGUUAGCUGUUCUCAUGCAGCGCAGAGGGUGGGCUGCAUGUUUUUUAAAAACUGCACAAAGGACAUCUGUAGGGGAUCAGCAGGAGAUUUUAAGCGGUUACACUGGAAAUGCAGCAGAAGGAUAAUGAGCAGAGAAGGCUCUGCAUAAGGGUGUCUGCUCUGAACUGAAAUUGCUAGUCUCUGGGAGGGAGGCAGGGUGGGUGGGUAUGAACAAUUGGUACUUAGCUUCUUGUAUCGUCUGUGCUUUUGUAGAAAAUGUUCCAAUUUCCUACUUGUUUACAGUUUUUACGCAGGGAAGAAGGGAAGUGGGCGUUAGUUCCCAAACUGUAUCCGUCGCCUCCCAAGCCCAACAUGGAUGUGAGAGGGAAAUGGAUUUUGACAAUUUAGCUACCUUUUGUUCUCCUGACGAAUAUUGUGUAAAUACCCCCAUCCCUGACCCCUUUCAGCCUCAGUGCCUUGAACAGCUCCUGCUGUAUCUAGGGCAUUCUAUGGGGGUGGGGUUAAUGACCUCUAUUAAGACAUAAUGGGAACUGGGGUGCUGUUUGAGAGGGGAAGGGCAAGUGGACCCAUUCAUGCACUUGCUAAACUGUUGGCUUGUUUAAUGAAGUGUGUUUUGGCCAAGGCCUGAGAACAGUCAUUAAGGAGAGAAAAGUUUGAAUUUGCUCGUCGCUUCGCAUUCCAAGCUCAAGGAAGGGAAGUGGAAGACACACAGAGCAAAUGAGGCUUUCUCCACCCGGUUCCUUAAAUCAGGUUCAGAAUAGGGCUGAGGGAAUUCUUUGUGGAGUGCGCUUAGCUUCCUUUUUCAAAUGUUGCUGUUAGGAUAACUUAGUGCGGGUGCUGAAGGCAGGCUCAUUUGAACCAUGCGUUUAGUUCAGGGGUAGCUGAUGACAGCCUAAGCACUUCUGAGUUGGGACUUCCAUGUGGGUUACUUGAGGGAGGGGGAGGGUUCUUCAGACCUUAGCCCAAGGUUGGGAAACACUGCGUCCAUACAGCUGUGGCCAUGGUGACCUUCCUGGACUCAAGGCGCCACCAGUGCACCGAAGACUCUGACGUGAGAAGCAGAUCGCAGGGGCUGGGAUCCCAAAACGUGCACUUUCUUCCAGCCAAGGGGACCUGGGGCUUGUGCUUCCUGCUAGAAGCAGACCUCCCGCAGAGCAUGCCAAACAGCUCUGGAAAAUAAGGGAACUUUCUCACAGCAAUUUGGGAUAUAGCAAGGGGGGCUGCUGUUAAGGGGCAAAGGUCCUGUGGGUGAACCUCAAGUGGCGUUUUUGAAUCCCAGCCCAAAUGUGAAGCUGGCCUCAACUCCCCCCCCCCCCUUUAUUUGAAAAAUU